rfam:Oryza glumipatula chromosome 1, whole genome shotgun sequence.
UUUAAGUGCAACCAUAAGUUUCCACGUCCAACUUUUAUCGUCCGUCUUAUUUGAAAAAAUUUUAUAAUUAAUAUUUUUGUUGUUAUGAGAUGAUAAAACAUAAAUAAUACUUUACUCGUGACUUAUAUUUUUAAUUUUUUUAAUUUUUUUAAAUAAGACGGACGGUUAAAGUUGGACGUGGAAAACCAUGACUUCACUUAAA